rnacentral:rRNA from 1 species
UGGGGAAUAUUGCACAAUGGGCGAAAGCCUGAUGCAGCCAUGCCGCGUGUGUGAAGAAGGCCUUCGGGUUGUAAAGCACUUUCAGCGAGGAGGAAAGGGUGUUGUUUAAUACGCAACAUCUGUGACGUUACUCGCAGAAGAAGCACCGGCUAACUUCGUGCCAGCAGCCGCGGUAAUACGAGGGGUGCAAGCGUUAAUCGGAAUUACUGGGCGUAAAGCGUGCGUAGGUGGUUUGUUAAGCAAGAUGUGAAAGCCCCGGGCUCAACCUGGGAACUGCAUUUUGAACUGGCAGGCUAGAGUAUUGUAGAGGGUAGUGGAAUUUCCAGUGUAGCGGUGAAAUGCGUAGAGAUUGGAAGGAACAUCAGUGGCGAAGGCGGCUACCUGGACAAAUACUGACACUGAGGCACGAAAGCGUGGGGAGCAAACAGG